CGGGCCCCCGAUCUGCCGCCAGUCGGCGUGCCUGCAGCUGCUGGCUUGACCCCAGACCGGGACUGGCGGAGCGGAACACUGCCCGGUGGGCCCAGGCCGACCGUGCCUGUGGCUCUCCGGAACAAUAAACCCCCGGCCCCAGUGAUGUGGGCCAGACCGGACCUGGAGAGGCGGCACCGCGACUCCUCCCUCAACCCGCCUGGCGGCCGGGGGCAGCGUGACCCGGCCCGCUACCGUGUCACAGCUGGCGACUGACAAACAGCAGGCGACGUCGGGAGAACUCCCCGAGGCACCCGAGACUUCAGCCUUCUCGCUCCGCGGCCCUGCAGGACCUGCCCGUCGGGAGCCCCGGAGUCCGCGGCAGCGCCGAGGGCCCCUCCCCCAGGCCUCUGGGCUCUGAGGGACCAUGCCUGGCCGGAUGCUGCUGCCUGGCUUCAGUGCCAUCUGCAUGUCCUCAGGGAUGACAAAGGACUCAUUGUACCAGAUGUCAAAUUCUACAAGGAGAUGAGGAGACAGAACCUGAGGAAGCCAGUACUCUUUACAUGUUGAGGAUCACAUAUGGUUUUGUUUGAUCUGGUGCAGAAGCUAACAUUAGCUGAUUACCUAAUUGGGCGUAAUUCCUCCUUCGGGGAGUCUGAGGGAAGGGGCUCAAUGCUGGAAGUUUCCCGGUCCCGCGAAAACAUGUCUUUGACAUCCCCAUCUUUGGAGGAUGGGACCAGCUGGGUCUUGGAGGUGGAAACGUAAUCCAAGUCCUUCCCAUUCACAGGGCUGCUGGCACCUUCCUUUCUUGCCAAGGAGCUGGAAGAAGGCACGGAAGCCCCAGGGUUCAGUCAUGGACAGUGAGGUAUCAGAUGCCAGGAUGAGUGACCUUUCUCAGCACUGACUACCCUGGGAACCCCACCUCAUUCAGCUCCCAUCUUGUUCAUAUUCCUAGGUAAAAGCGCAAAUGGUGUGAUGCUAAGCUAGGCAGAUGUGGAGGAAGAAGAGGGCAUUUUUCUCCCUUUUAUCAGAAAAAAGAGCCUUCAGUGGUCUUGGCAGGAAACACUUGGGAAAAAUGGGUACAAUCUCCAUGGAUUGAAAGUGUAUGGACCUGUAGGAUGGGCCACAGGUUCUCAGGAACCACCAUGGCUGCUGAGGUCUGAGUCAUACAGGCUUCCCUGGGAAGGACUGGUAGAGCCCCACACAGGGUGGGUCUGUCUGUGGACCAAUGGUAAAGCAGGAUGGCUCUGCCCUGCUGUUUUUACUGGUACACACCCUGUUCUCCACACCAGCUCCCAGAAAAGUAGCUGUCCUCCCUGCUGAAGCGACAGUGCUUGUUGCCUUUCUCCGAGAAGAGGCAGAUCUGAGGACCGAACUGGCAGGAGGAUGCCCAUGGCUCUUCCCAAAGGUCUGAGGAUAGAAAAUCUGUUUCUUCCUCUUUCCUCCUCCUUGCAACGAGUGUGGCUCAGGGGACUGAGCCUCAACCCAUCGACUACUGCACUGAUUAUCCGGAAGCAGAACAGAGAGGGCUGAGGUGUGACUGCACUCAUGAAGAGGCGGGAGGAAGCCAGGGACACUGGCAUCCUCUGCUGCCGGACUCUUGUCCUGCGUGUAACAGUUUUCUACAAUCAGCUCUGGCCUGUGGCCUGCGCUCACUCACUCUUGCUCACAACGACCUCAAUGACUUGGA